rnacentral:rRNA from 1 species
AAACCCUGAUCCAGCAACGCCGCGUGGAGGAUGAAGGUCUUCGGAUUGUAAACUCCUGUUAGGGGGGACGAAGGGAUGCCGGCGAAUAGUCGGCAAACUUGACGGUACCCCCAGAGGAAGCCCCGGCUAACUCUGUGCCAGCAGCCGCGGUAAUACAGAGGGGGCAAGCGUUAUUCGGAAUUAUUGGGCGUAAAGGGCGCGUAGGCGGCCUUGUAAGUCUUGGGUGAAAUCCCUCAGCUCAACUGAGGAACUGCCUCGGAUACUGCAGGGCUUGAGGCCGGGAGAGGGUAGUGGAAUUCCCAGUGUAGCGGUGAAAUGCGUAGAUAUUGGGAGGAACACCGGUGGCGAAGGCGGCUACCUGGACCGGUUCUGACGCUGAUGCGCGAAAGCGUGGGUAGCAAACAGGAUUAGAUACCCUGGUAGUCCACGCUGUAAACGAUGGGUGCUCGGUGUCGCGGGUAUCGACCCCUGCGGUGCCGUAGUUAACACGUAAGCA